UCAGUAACAACGAUUCAGCCUUGU
rnacentral:miRNA from 2 species